AAUUUUUCAUAAUAAUCUGUGGUGAAACGAAAUGUCUCAUUUUGAGGAAAAGCUGCGUAUUUAUUUUGGCCUUAAUAAUUUUCAUAACUAGGCCUAAGUUAAAUGUGGAUUAUUUGUAAAAAUAUGUAAUUAAAAACGCAUUUUGAACACGUGUAAUUUAAAUUUUAUUUUAACAAAUGUGUAAAAUCAAUUAUAAUUUAACUAAAUUUGAAGUGAACACAAACCAAUAAUAAAACAACGCAGAGUCGCGAAAGUGAUGUGAAAUCGUAUCGAAAACAACGAACUUUACGACAAUACUGUAAAUUAAUAAUUAGACAUGGUAGUUCGCCUGCCGAACCGCGCAUAGUUGCUUCCUGAACCAGCAUGGGGCAACAGGCUUCCAGAAAAAACGCGGCGCCCCCGGGCUCCGAGUGCGGCUGCGGCGCGUGGGAGCGGCGCCGCCACGCCGAGUCGCCGGGCAGCGUGCAGCGCUACGUCAGCGCCGUCACCGACAGAUGGACGGGCCGGGAGUGCGUGUGCCGCCGCCGCCGCUGGCGCCGGCCGGCGUGCGUGUGCACUGCCUACCGCCGCGUCAGCGACGCGUGCCACGACGACGGUCUGGCGGCAGUGUUGACUCUGGGCAGAGACCUCCGUAGGGAGUUGGAUGCGAUCGUCUUGAAUACUGACGGCGACGCAAACAGAGACAUACGCGAGCCCACCGCCGAGUUGUACGUGCUCUCCGUGGAGCCCACGCGAGCCGAGGGUGAACCCUCCGAGGGUGCACGGAGGAGGGAGCGAGCCCAGGCCACCGACCGCGGCGUGCGGCGGUUCCAGGUGGUGUGCGGGGGGGAGCUCCGCGCGCUGCUGCUGCGGGCGCCGCAGCUCGACCACCUGCCGUCACCGCCCACCAUCGUGCACACGCAGGUGGACUACAAGCACUGCCUGGUGCCGGACCUGCAGGAGAUCACCGCCUGCUCCUUCUACUGGGGCAAGAUGGACCGCUAUGAAGCCGAGCGCCUGCUGGACAACAAGCCCGAAGGCACGUUCCUGCUGCGCGACUCGGCGCAGGAGGAGCACCUGUUCUCGGUGUCGUUCCGCAAGUACGGGCGCUCGCUGCACGCGCGCAUCGAGCACUACCAGCACCGGUUCAGCUUCGACUCGCACGACCCCGCCGUGUUCGCCGCGCCCACCGUCACCGGCCUCAUCGAGCACUACAAGGUGACCCCCCACACCGCACUGUGUGUCUCACUGCCACCACCACCACCAGCACCGGUUCAGCUUCGACUCGCACGACCCCGCCGUGUUCGCCGCGCCCACCGUCACCUGCCUCAUCGAGCACUACAAGGUGACCCCCCACACCGCACUGUGUGGCUCACUGCCACCACCAGCACCGGUUCAGCUUCAACUCGCACGACCCCGCCGUGUUCGCCGCGCCCACCGUCACCGGCCUCAUCGAGCACUACAAGGUGACCCCCCACACCGCACUGUGUGUCUCACUGCCACCACCAGCACCAGCACCGGUUCAGCUUCGACUCGCACGACCCCGCCGUGUUCGCCGCGCCCACCGUCACCGGCCUCAUCGAGCACUACAAGGACCCCGCGUGCGUGAUGUUCUUCGAGCCGAUGCUGACGGCGCCGCUGCCGCGCAACGCGCCCUUCGCGCUGCAGCAGCUCGCG
rnacentral:misc_RNA from 1 species